rnacentral:lncRNA from 1 species
UAUUAAUGAAGUGAUUAAUGAUGACCUUCAUAUUACAAUUAAUAGUCAGCUUUUUUUGGAAACUCUAUUAAUGGAGGUGAGGGGCAAAACUAUCUCAUACUCUAGCUUCAAAAAGAAGACAAGAGAGAAAAGGGGAAAAACAUUCAAAGAUGACAUUAAUAUUUUAGAAGAAAAUGGAAAUUCAGGUUCUAUACAGCAAUUGGAAGACAAAAAAACUAGAGGGUCCAAGGACCCUGUGUCGCUCACCUGAUAUUUUUAUUUACAUUUGAUGCAAAAUAAAUGCAACU